CAUUUAAUCCUGCUUCCAGCAGCAUAUUAUUUGACCUUAAAAAGAGAAAGGAGAUAUUUGUAGGGAUACCGAGAGUUUUUUCCAAUUUUAGAUUGUUUGGGUCUUUUUGCUCUAUUCUCCCCUUUUCAUACUUAUGGGAUUAAGUAAUUUUAAUGUAUUUGUGGUACUAAAUUUAGUCCAGUAUCGGCUGAACGUGCUAACUGCCUUCAAUCGUGCAUGUCUUUAUAUGUCUUGGUAUUGGGUAUAGAACCUUUUUGUUCUAUGUGUAGUCUUUUCAUACCACGGCUUUGUUUAAAUUGUGUGCGACGUGCUUCGCUUCGUUCGAAUUGUGUUCCCCUUGCGGCUCUGCGUGAAUUGCUUAGUAUGCAAUUCUUAAGUCGUUUUGGUCGCUACUCCUGGAGUACCACUUGCAUAGUGAGUGUUGCAUGAUGGGACUUUGCUCCGAUGAGUAUGUGUCAAAUUUGUAAUUUUAUUGCUAAUAUUUUAUUAUCUUUUCUAGUGGAAUUCCCCUAUUAUUAUUAUUUAUAAACCCGUCGGGGCUCUAGACGAACUAAACAACACCAAUAGUCUUGCAAUUUCUUCUAUCUGUUCUCAAAUUAUGCAUUUGUGAAGAAACAUUUCCCUUUAAUAUAUAAAGAUAAUUAUAUUAUUUUUUUUUUUUUUCCCUCUAAGCGUAGUUCCUAAUUAUGCCUUGACCACUCUUUAUUGCCGCUUGUGUUUCAACCGUGAAAAUUAAUUUUGGACUUUUAUUUUUUUAUUACUGGCUCAAUGUGCCAUUUGUUUGACGGUCAAGGUCUCGCGUAGCUACUAAGCUUUGCAAUUAUUGACGUAGGUCAUGAUGAAGCUUUAGUUUUCUUCUUCCCACUUUUGUUCGCAAUAAUCGCAUACUCAUAUGCGUUCCGCGAUUAUUGCUGUAUCGGAGACGUGAUUAAUCCUAUACAAUUGGCGAUGCCUGUCAUCAGUGGAUUAAUAUUUGUGUCAUCAUCUAUCUUGUCAUCUUGUCACUUGUCAUCUUUUGUGAUAUUUAGCUGUAAAAGUUAAAUUCAUGUAAUGAUGUGAAAUAACAAAAAUUUGAUCAUGUAUUAGUAAACUAAAAGAGAGAGAGAAAAAAAAAAAAUGUUCCUGUUUCGAACCUUAGAUCCUCUGAUCUUUGGUUUCGCUGUUUACUUUGAGUCCAGUUGUGAGGAACUCGAAUGAAAAGGUAUUUUAUUGAUGUUAUUUUAUGUGAUCAACUCACGUGUUUGACCCACUGUGAGUUGAUAUAUUUUUAGGUUUCCAUUCCAAUUGGAAAAUUUUCGAUGGACUUGAUUCACUGGUAUGUGUGAAACCGUGUCAAUCGACUAAUAAAAAUGCAAUUAUGCAUUAUUGAUUGUCGUCAUUCUUAAUUUGUUUCGGUAUGGGCAGUACGGGUCGGUACCCCUGGUUUUUUAGUUUGAUUUGUUCAUUAAAUUAAAAAAAAAUUCUGAGGUUAUCUUAGUGGCGGGUGACUAGCCACGGAUUAGAAUGUAGUGUCGUAGUAGUGGAAUAUUCUGUGCCAGAAAGUGGAAUAUUCUGUGCCAGAAUAGUGUGGUGAACAGUCCGCUAUGGCGGUGAGGUUGGAUGGGUUGAAUCCUGUUGCUGGUUCCAGUGCCCUGUGAGCUGCUCCCUGUCCGUGGGAUCUAUUGCGAUUGGAUUUCGAAAACUUGAAUUCGCGUAACACUGGUCAACAGUCGAUCUCGGAUUGUUUCGACCAACUUCGAGGAGGAGCCCUUAGAAAUAUUGGACUUGCACGUUUCGUGGCAUUCACUUUCGUUGAUUUGGGUCUGUUUUUCCGAUACGUCAAAGUCACUUAAGCACGUAAGUUUUUUCUACUUUUUCACUACUGGCCCAGCCAGAAAACGGCGCACCUGAGCCUAUCUUUUCAGGCUCUUUUGCGCUGUCACCAAUGAAGCGAAAUACGUACCGAGUGGUUAGACACUAUUACUGCUGGAUGUGAUAUGUCCUUUGAUUAACUGCACUACAUCUGCUCGAUUUUAAUUACUUUUAAUCUAUCAGUUAAGUUGAAAAAAUAUUAAAUCACUUAAACACUAAACCGAAACUUAAACAACGGGCAUCACUUCUGCCUCGCGGAAUAAAACUUAAGAGUUAACACCUAAACGAACCGCGGACUAUCUAUAACGACGUAGGCACCUGCCUCACGAGGGG